CCACUGGGCAGAGGGAUCCUUCUCCUGUCACUGCUGCCAUGAAUUUGCACCUUGAAGAAAGGAUCCAAAGCACCUGUUACCAACCAUAACUAGAGAGAAAAAUGUAGUCUGAGAGGGCCAGCAAAUGGAAUAGCACCAGCAGACCAUAUGCUGUGGAGACCAGAGAGCGGAUGAAAUUGCAGCCCUGCCGACAGCCUGCUUCAUUUCUCUGGCUGUAAAGUUCACAUGGGACCAGCUUCUGGUGCUCACCAAGCUUUCUCUGCCCCAUGGAGAUGCUGAGAAUGGUACAGUGAACAAGGAGCUUCAGCUGUGUCCACAGGCAUGGAAACAAGCAGGGAUGCCCAGCUGUACCAGCAGCAUAUGCCCGGCCAGGGUGGUGCCCAAGAGAUGGCUUAAAA